AUUGAACGCUGGCGGCAGGCCUAACACAUGCAAGUCGAGCGGAGCGGGGGACGGGUGCGUAUUACCUAGGAAUCUGCCACUUACUGGUGGAUAAGGUCAGGUAACGGGCACUAAUACCGAAUCCUCUCGCAUUCGCCUAGGUCGGAUUAGCGAUUUGUUGGGGUAAAGGCCUACCAGGGCGACGAUCCGUAACUGGUCUGAGAGGAUGAUCAGUCACACUGGAAAGGAGACACGGUCCAGACUCCUACGGGAGGCAGCAGUGGGGAAUAUUGUACAAUGGGCGAAAGCCUGAUGCAGCCAUGCCGCGGGUGUGAAGAAGGCCUUCGGAUUGUAAAGCACUUUAAGUGGGGAGGCGUUACCAGCAGAAUAAGCACCGGCUAACUUCGUGCCAGCAGCCGCGGUAAUAC
rnacentral:rRNA from 1 species